AUCGGUGUGCUAGCGCCGGCGAUCUCACCUUCCGGCGGAGAGUCAACAGUGGGGAGCUCACCGUGAGGACUUUGAUCGAGGCGGGUAUUGUGACAAGGUUGACGUCGGAUUCAGCCUACAUUUGAGGCGGGUAGCUGAUAGCGAUGCUAGUACGCUUGGAGGAGGAUCCCGACUGCCGG